UGCCUGGCUCCCUGUAUGCCUGCAGGAGUGCCAUCCGGGAAAUAGCACAUAGGACCAACCCCACGGGCGAGCGGGUUUCCAUGGAACA
rnacentral:miRNA from 2 species